UACGAAGGGUGCAAGCGUUAAUCGGAAUUACUGGGCGUAAAGCGCGCGUAGGUGGUUCAGUAAGUUGGAAGUGAAAUCCCCGGGCUCAACCUGGGAACUGCUUUCAAAACUGCUGAGCUAGAGUACGGUAGAGGGUGGUGGAAUUUCCUGAGUAGCGGUGAAAUGCGUAGAUAUAGGAAGGAACACCAGUGGCGAAGGCGACCACCUGGACUGAUACUGACACUGAGGUGCGAAAGCGUGGGGAGCAAACAGG
rnacentral:rRNA from 1 species